UAACACAUGCAAGUCGAGCGGUAGAGAGAAGCUUGCUUCUCUUGAGAGCGGCGGACGGGUGAGUAAUGCCUAGGAAUCUGCCUGGUAGUGGGGGAUAACGCUCGGAAACGGACGCUAAUACCGCAUACGUCCUACGGGAGAAAGCAGGGGACCUUCGGGCCUUGCGCUAUCAGAUGAGCCUAGGUCGGAUUAGCUAGUUGGUGAGGUAAUGGCUCACCAAGGCGACGAUCCGUAACUGGUCUGAGAGGAUGAUCAGUCACACUGGAACUGAGACACGGUCCAGACUCCUACGGGAGGCAGCAGUGGGGAAUAUUGGACAAUGGGCGAAAGCCUGAUCCAGCCAUGCCGCGUGUGUGAAGAAGGUCUUCGGAUUGUAAAGCACUUUAAGUUGGGAGGAAGGGCAGUAAAUUAAUACUUUGCUGUUUUGACGUUACCGACAGAAUAAGCACCGGCUAACUCUGUGC
rnacentral:rRNA from 1 species